UAUGGCUAUAUCAUAUUGAAACACCAGUUCUUGUAUGAUCACCUAAGUUAAGCAACAUCAAACCUGGUCAGUACCUAGAUGGGUGACCACUUGGAAACACCAGGCACUGUAA